AUACGUAAGGGGCAAGCGUUGUUCGGAUUUAUUGGGCGUAAAGGGCACGCAGGCGGACUGGUAAGUUGGAUGUAUAACCUUCGGGCUCAACCCGAAGUCUGCAUCCAAAACUGCCAGUCUAGAGUUCUGGAGAGGAAAGCGGAAUUCUCGGUGUAGCGGUGGAAUGCGUAGAUAUCGAGAGGAAUACCAAUGGCGAAGGCAGCUUUCUGGACAGAAACUGACGCUCAGGUGCGAAAGCGUGGGGAGCAAACAGGAUUAGAAACCCCUGUAGUCC
rnacentral:rRNA from 1 species